rnacentral:lncRNA from 1 species
CUGAAAAUCCAUAUAGGUGAUUAAUACUUUGAGUGAGCCAUCUGAGCAAGAGCUAGAUCCAGUUGCAAUGCAGAUAUAGGAAAGAUCUGCGAGCAAUACUUGGCAUAACAGAGCAGACACCAUCUGACUUCUGACCCAGUGCGCGUGCAGCCCCAAGCAGCGAUGAUCGACACUGGCUUUUGAUCCCCUGGUGGCAGGUUGGGAUCCUCCAGAAAGGACUUUGGCAAAACAAAGCAGCAUGCAAGAAAUUAGGUUGGAGACAUCAAGACAACAUCUGAAUGAAUAAACAAUGAUGACUAGACUGUUUCUGAAGAAAAGCAGAGACUACAUGCCAAAUCAGUGUAUGGUCUCUGAAAUGAGAAAGUACAAGAACUAGCAAGGGAAUACAUCAAGAGCUAUUGCCAGAUUAAUGGAAACUCAAAUAGGAAGAAGUCAUGGAUGAAUAAGCAAGGAAUCAAGACAGAAGUCUGAUUUUGAAUAAUUGAUUUGUUCUGUGAGAGGCUAAGUCAAAAUUUUCCUAGUAAAUCAAAUACUGAUCCAGAGUGGAAUUCAAAGAGGGAAAGGAACUAAGAAGGAUGUACUGAAGAAUUGAAAGAAUUGCCAGGGAAAUCUAAGGAAAUAACAGAACUAAUGAGUAGAACUCGCUCUGCUUUCAGUUACAGAGUGGACCAGCCUGGAACACCAUGGCGUUGAAUUUGUUCAUUUGUUCAUGACAGAUGAUUCAUGACAGAAAGCAGGGAUGUUCAAAACCCAUGUGUGGACCAUCAGGAAAAAUAAUGAUGCCUGCUAGAGUGGAUUCUGUCAAGAUGAAGCAUCAACAAAAAAAUCUACACCUUGCAAGAUGGGCCAAACAGCAUGACUUCUGUAUUUAAACAACACUUAUGAUUAAGUGUUAUGAAGCAUGAAUUACAGGGUUCAAACUGGGGAACUCUGGGACAAGUUUUUGCUACCUCAGUCACAAGGUAUGUAUAGCAUAAACUGUUCAAAUUAAUUGUAGUUUAUACUCAGUGGCU